ACGGGGGGGACGAGCGUUGUUCGGAUUUACUGGGCGUAAAGGGCGCGUAGGCGGACCUCUAAGUCGGGUGUGAAAACUGUUGGCUUAACUGACAGCCUGCACUCGAUACUGGAGGCCUUGUGUACGGAAGAGGAGAGUGGAAUUCCAGGUGUAUCGGUUGACUUCGUAGCUAUCUCGAAUCACACUAGUCUCGAGGGUGGCUCUCAGGUUUGUUAUUUAGAUGCUAGCGAUGAGGGUUGUUGUUCAAACGU
rnacentral:rRNA from 1 species